rnacentral:rRNA from 1 species
UACGUAGGGCGCAAGCGUUGUCCGGAAUUAUUGGGCGUAAAGAGCUCGUAGGCGGCUUGUCGCGUCGGUUGUGAAAGCCCGGGGCUUAACCCCGGGUCUGCAGUCGAUACGGGCAGGCUAGAGUUCGGUAGGGGAGAUCGGAAUUCCUGGUGUAGCGGUGAAAUGCGUAGAGAUUGGAAAGAACACCGAUGGCGAAGGCACUUUACUGGGCUAUUACUAACACUGAGAGACGAAAGCUAGGGUAGCAAAUGGG